rnacentral:rRNA from 1 species
UACGUAGGGGGCAAGCGUUGUCCGGAAUGACUGGGCGUAAAGCGCGUGCAGGCGGACAUUUAAGUCUGAUGUGAAAGACCGGAGCUCAACUCCGGGAUUGCGCCGGAAACUGGAUGUCUAGAGGCAUGGAGAGGACAGUGGAAUUCCCAGUGUAGCGGUGAAAUGCGUAGAUAUUGGGAGGAACCCCAGUGGCGAAGGCGACUGUCUGGACAUGACCUGACGCUGAGGCGCGAAAGCGUGGGGAGCAAACAGG